UUCUAGAAUGUUCCAUCUUACAUCAGCAAGGAGCACCUGUGAGGUCACACAGAGCCUCAGUUACUGUUAUUUCUAGUCUAUUUGUUCUAGUCUGUCACGUUCACUGCUGGUUGGUCUUGGCCUGAUAGCUCAUGUUCCCUGAGAUUGGCAGAUAGAACAGGCCAAGGGCUGGGUGCUGGAGGAUCCCAGGAGCUCAGAGGGAAUGGUUCAGACAGCAGUGAAUGCCAUACCUAUGUAGGUAAAGGAGGCUCUGUGGGUGUCACUUUCACGAGGGAGGCAUCUAGAUGUCAGCUUUGAGAUCACCAAGAGGAACACUGUAUCCUGGGCAUGCCUGACCCAGUCAGAGGAGCCUGUAACAGAGGGUCAGAGAGACCUGACUUGAAAGGUCAUAUGACCCAGGUUCACAUCACAAACUAAGCUCUGGAGUCCAGUUCAUGGAGGUUCUGAGGUCCUGGAACCUCUGGGCCUUGGCAGAUGUUUGUGGAGGAUGCUACUUUCAGAACUGCCCUCAACAACUUGGACAACUUGGACAUCCAGUCCCUCACAUGUGUCACCCCCAGUUUGUGCCUCGAUGCCCUGAGAGGAGAGACUCCCGCUGACCUCGACCCAGGAUUUGCUCAAGAAGGAAUGAACCAGCUGUGGAUCCACAUCUGCUGUGUAAAGACAAUCAUUUGUCCCUACUGUGAAGAUCACAGCCCUUCAAGAACUCCCUCAAGCCCCUUCAUGAAAUAGCCCACCAGUGUAGUGUCUUCA